CGCUCCCUCGCGCUGGCUGACGAGGCCGCACGAACGCGCCCACGGGCGGGCGGCGGGUGUCGCUGUGCGCGGUGUCCCGAAUGCUGAGGGAAAAAUAGGAGAAAUCUGAUUAGGCUGAUUCACCACAAGCGGCUGCUCCUCAGUGAAGGCGAGAGGCCUCUCGGUGCCACUGCGGCAGCCACUGGCGGAGAAGGGAAGGCUCGAGUUGCUGGUGCUGGGUCUCUCUAUACUGGAAGGUUUCUAUGAGGUCUCCACACAACCUUCUCCAGGUGAACAGCCCCAACUUUCUCAACCUGUCUUCACAGAGAAGGUGCUCCAGUCCUAUUACUGAAUAAGAGUAAAAAUGCACCAAUACUGAUUAAUAAGCAUUGUGGGAUAUGUAAUAGAGCUUUUCCUCUUGGAAUCAGUGUUUUUCAGUCAAAGAUAACAACAGAGUGGAGAUACUUAAGUUUUACAGGCUCCUUCCUACAUGAGAGCCACUUUCACUCACCUUGUCCAUUCAUCAGCUUUACCAGGGCUGAGGACUGAGUCAUUUUGGUAAUGCUGUCAGUCAUCCACUGAAAGCUUUGCCUUUGCUUAGAAGCCUGUGCCAUCCUACUGGCAUUAACCAGCUACCAAGAAAGAGAAGAAAAGAG